rnacentral:rRNA from 1 species
UACAGAGGGAGCAAGCGUUGUUCGGAAUUACUGGGCGUAAAGGGCGCGUAGGCGGUCCGAUAAGUCCCGUGUGAAAUCCCUCGGCUCAACUGAGGAACUGCACGGGAAACUGACGGGCUUGAGUUCGGGAGAGGGAAGCGGAAUUCCGGGUGUAGCGGUGAAAUGCGUAGAUAUCCGGAGGAACACCGGUGGCGAAGGCGGCUUCCUGGACCGACACUGACGCUGAGGCGCGAAAGCUAGGGGAGCAAACGGG